GAUGAACGCUGGCGGCGUGCCUAAUACAUGCAAGUCGAGCGAACGGACGAGAAGCUUGCUUUUCUGAUGUUAGCGGCGGACGGGUGAGUAACACGUGGAUAGCCUACCUAUAAGACUGGGAUAACUUCGGGAAACCGGAGCUAAUACCGGAUAAUAUUUUGAACCGCAUGGUUCAAAAGUGAAAGACGGUCUUGCUGUCACUUAUAGAUGGAUCCGCGCUGCAUUAGCUAGUUGGUAAGGUAACGGCUUACCAAGGCAACGAUGCAUAGCCGACCUGAGAGGGUGAUCGGCCACACUGGAACUGAGACACGGUCCAGACUCCUACGGGAGGCAGCAGUAGGGAAUCUUCCGCAAUGGGCGAAAGCCUGACGUAGCAACGCCGCGUGAGUGAUGAAGGUCUUCGGAUCGUAAAACUCUGUUAUUAGGGAAGAACAUAUGUGUAAGUAACUGUGCACAUCUUGACGGUACCUAAUCAGAAAGCCACGGCUAACUACGUG
rnacentral:rRNA from 1 species